UAAACACAGUCUGAUAGUCUGAGAAUUGGGACAACUUGUUUGUAGUCCUGAUUCUGCCACUAACUGGAUCUGUGACAUUGGCUACAUGGCUUCAUCUCUCUGGCCCUCCCUUGGUUUUUCAUUUGUAAAUGAAUGUGCUUGACUAAAUUUUCUAGUGCUAAGUACAAAGAUUAUGAGACUCAGAAUUUGAUGCCACCUCAACAGUUGAUACUAUGGAAUAGAAAAAGAAAGCUCUUUGUCCUAGAGGGAGGGAGGCUUUAUGUUAAACCUCCUAAGAGCAUUUAACUCCAUCUCCUUGAGCACCUAAGCCAGGUACCUGCAAUUGAAUUUUUCUAAAAAUUCAGAGAAACCUUUGGAGUAAUAUGUGGCUAGAAAUUUAUCACUUGACCUCUAGGGGUGGCUCCUAUGUUGAACAGUUGUAUAAUGGCCACAGAGAUUAGUGUGGUAAGAGGGAAAGACAUUUCUCUCAUUACUAAAACUGUUAUUGGAAAUCUGGGACUUGAAGCGAUACUGUAGUAACUAACAAAACAACCCAAACCCUAUACCGUACAUACAGAAGACCAAAUCCUGAGAUAAAAAUGAAUAAAUCUUGUAUCCUAUAACUUUGGGUGCUGUGGUAUCUUUAAAGCCAUGACAGAAAGAAGUAAUAUUUUUAUUACCUUUGUAAACACAGGAGCUGCAAUGAUAGGUUUUCCAUCCAAUCCCUGCAAGUAAUUGGUGGGGCUCUGACACUGGUAGAAGGGAAGCAACAGUAAAUUCAUUGUUACUAAUAUUAUUAGAUGGAUAGUGAGACAUAACAAACCUAUAGAAUUUGGUAUAUGAAAUGCAUCCCAAACCAAAAAACUGAUGUAUUCUAAGUUUAUGAAUCACAGACUUCAAAUUUUAGACUGAAUUGACUCUAUUUCUCUCUAGGUCAUGGUGGCUAUAAAAUAUGUGCUGCCUAUCCCCACGCCACCCCUUCACAUGUAGAUCUGUCCAUGAAACUAAUCAGGUUUUAUGAUAUAGAGUGUUUGUUCUAGGCCAGUCUGAGAGCUGACAGCUCACUGCAUAUGUAAUCAGCACCCUUUAUAAAGCUGAAAAGCCAGGGACUAAUUUGUAAAGCGUUUCUUCUCCUCAGAAAUUUGCCUAUUGAAGCCCGAGAAUAUGUUCCCAAAGCAACAGGAACCACUGCUCUCAAACAUCAGAAAUACAAGGUGAUUAUCCUGAUGAUGGAGUUGCACCUGAGAAAAACACGAUCAUGCCAUGCAAGAUGGUCAUGGUCACCAUGACUGUCUGUCACAGUGGAUGGCACUUGUGUUUCGCUUGGAUUCUUGUACCUGCUGGAUGGUUGCCACACGAGGUUGGGCCACCAAAUGCUGGGCUUGGGGUACUGCUGGAGGAAUGACUGCAGAGGUAGUGGGAGGAGAUGACACCUCAUUUGGCUUCUGGAUUCUGAGAAAUUAUUAAAAUAUAGAUUAUAAAAUAGACCUAUCACUCUUUGUGAAAAUUAUUUUAGGAAAACUAGUAAUGGCAUCACUGCUUACAGGUGAGUGUAAUAAAAAUCUUGGUUUGAUGAUAUUUUACAAACGUUGACCAAGGGCAUUUUUGCUACACAUUUUGUUAGGCAAUGCAAACACGAAAAUGCAUAAGACACCAUUCCUGUCCUUGGGCCGUUGUUCUCAGUGUAGCCAGGGAGUCAAACAUAUUAACAGUUAACUGAGAUCCAAGACAAAUGCAGUGAUGGAAGCAUGUGCAGAAGGUAAUUUUUUGAGAUUUGUUUUGUUGUUACCCUCGGUAUUUU
rnacentral:lncRNA from 10 species